ensembl:miRNA
CACUGGGCUUGGAGUCAGAAGACCUGGCUCCAGCCAAGCUC